UCCAAUGCGCAACGUUGGAGCUCAUUGAUAAGGCCAUUCAUCCACCAUCGACCUCCUCCAAUCAUCACUAACCUUCGGACCCUCGCUCCAAGUUCACUCCGCCCAGCAGUCUACCAACUCUCUCCAUUUCCGUCUUCUCUCCUCAUCUCUCCCCGGGAAAAGACCGCAAAAUCCCUGCUCCCAGACCCACACGAAAGAACAACAUCCGUCUCAGUGGAUAGCCCUCAUUCCAAAGCCCCGUUAUCUCUAGUCAUGACCCAAACAUUGCUGCUACAGAGAAACCAUUACAUUAGCAGUGAAACCUUACAGUGUGUUACAUGUGUUUCUGGUACUCUUCAAGCCCAUGAUCUGCAGUUUGAUGGUGUGUUUUUGGGCCAAAUGUGUGAUCUGGUGGUUUGCUGUCUUUGAGGUGAGCAGCCUCCAUGGAUGCCAGCCCACGUUUGACUCUACCUCUCGCCGAUCUAGCUGAUUAAAGCAUCGAGGAAGAUCAAAAACAUCGAGGCAAGUGCGGAAGCUUCAUAUGGCAAGGAGUGGAAGUCUACGUACGAGAGGACAAAGGACUUGUUGAUCCUGCGGUGCUGGGCAGUCAGAUCUGGAGCUGGCAGAAGGUCAAUAAAAUGCUGAGGGAGACACUGUUUCGAUUACUUUGGAUCACCGAACCAGGACUGAUUCCAUGGUCCUUCCUUGUUUGUGGCCGUCUGUGGAGAAGACGAAUCUCAGGGUUGUAUACUGCAUACAUACUUCGAUAAUAAAUGUACUUUGAAUCUUUGAAAUAAAUUCAGGAACAGUAAAUUAACAACACUUAAAUCAUGGAGAAACAUUGAAUGAAACAUAGCAAUACAUAGGCUUAAGAUUCACAUUGAAAGUAAGGGGAUCUCAAAUCUUUCACCAGGUUUGACUGACACAGAAUCUACGUGAUGGGUCCUGUCUCCGGAAACCACAAGUGGAACAGAGAGGCAUGUUUGUCCCUUUCUCAGUCCAGGACCUGGGAACACUGGUUUCCAGUGAUCUCACUUUAAGGACCCUUUAUCUUGUUAUUUCAUGCUCGUUACUUAUUGCCGUUUAUUUAUAUUUGCAUUUGCACAGUCUGUUGUCUUCUAUACUCUUGCUCUUUCACUGAUCCUGUCUACAGUUACUAUUCUAUAGAUUUGCUCAGUUUGCCCACAGGAAAAAGAAUCAGGGUUGUAUGAGGUGACAUGUAUGUAACUCUAUAAUAAAAUCUACUUUGAACUUUACGAUACAUCACCUUAAAUACCUUUGGAUUUUAUAAAAUCGCAACUACAAAUACCACCAAAUUCAUAGCAAAUCACCAAAAAUCAUAGCACAUUACACUCAAGAUUAUGAAACUAAUGGUUCAAAGAUGAAGAUUCCACCUCUCUGCCAUCUUAACUGUAACCAACCCUAUUGACUUUUCUUUUUUAGCGUGACUUAUUUUAUAUAUAUAUUUCUUAUUGUAAUUUAUGGUAUAUUUUAUGUAUUGCACCGUACUGCUGCCACAAAACAAAUUUCACAGCACAUGUCGGUGAUAAUAAGCCUGUUUCUGCUGACAUCCAUUU